CACAUUUUUAGUUGGGGUUGGCCCUGAAUUCAUUCUGACUACCUUUCAGUCAUCGAGCAGUUCUCGGAAAUACUGAGGGUAGAGGAAACAAACCGUGAAAUUUGGCUAGAAACACAGGGUUGUGAAAAGGGAGUAGUAGCCAGAAAAAUAAUUUGGUAUCUUAACAGAAGGCUCUGAAUGGCCAGUCAAGUUAUUUGGACCUUAUUCAUUUAUUCAUUCAGUGAAUAUUUAUUAAGCAUUCAUUCUGUGUCAGGAGCUGUUUGGAGGAAUGAAAACUCAGCGUUAAACAAGACAAGGGUAGAGAGAAAAAAAUCAACAAGGAAACCACAAGAAAAUAUCAGGUGGUGGCUUGCUCCUGCAGUGGUAGUGGAGUGAGGAGCCAGAAAAGGGACCAGGGGCUGGGGUGCAGAAGAAGGUGAUGUAAAUACCUGUGCCAACCUGAAGCAGCCCCUUCAGUUCUAAGUUUAUAAUCCUUCAGCUGGGCAAGAUGUUGAAGAUCCACUUGUUUCAAGAACACUCUUGUAUCCUUGCCAGAAUAGCACGUUCUUUACCCUGCGCCUCUGAAGUGCUUUGGAAACUGAUGAAGAGGUGUGAGUUUGUAUAGCUUCUCACCUGGUGCUAGCACCUGAAGUUCACAGACAGUUGGGCAAAGAAGAUGGAUAGGAAACAGAGGAAGCAAAGACAAGCUGAGUGAAGGAGAAACUGGUACCUUCCAUCAUGGAGCUAAAUAUGCAUCUGCUCCAGAAUUCAGGGAAGUUGAUCCAGCAGGAGGAUCUGGCAGGAGCCCAGCUGCUGCCUCUCACCAACAAGGUGAGCUUGUGAAUAAGACAACAUGCAUGAGUUCUAACAGUGCCUGGAGCCCCGCAUCCAUCUUCCAAGCAUAAAAUAACAAGAUGGCUACUGCUUCACUUCCACUUUCUACAUCUUACACAAAAUGUCUCUUGAGGGCCACACUGUCCGAGAAAUCUGCAGAAAAGACAUAUGGAAGAUAGAGUUCUAAUGUAGCCAAGUUGAUACAAUACACAUCUAUCACACAGUAUUUAUCAGAAGAUUUGGUGAGGGAUGGGUGGGUACACAGCUGCCCUAAACCCCAUUGAUAGAUAGCCUAGAGGUUUAUAAGCCUUGGAUUAUUAAAAAUCUCUUUUCUAGUGUUCAUGAUAAUAGGAAUGGCAUCAAUGACUCAAUUAAGAAAACACCACCUUCUGAAUUUAGGUUUAUCUGUGUCAAUGAGUUUUAAUAGCUGGAAACAUUUGUAUUUUAGUUACCUUUCUAAUUUUUUCUUUACUUGAGAGCCUGUCAGUCCGCUCUAAGUAUUAAGGAGUCAUAAAAUUCUUAACAAUGCCUUUUUAAAAUAUAAGUUUUAUUUUCUAAUUUUUCAAGCAAAUGCACAUAUUAUUUAAAAUGUAUAUGCCCCUGCCUUUAGUCAUAAUUAAAUAAAAUACAUGAGUGCUUUUUCCUUGAAAUCAGAUGUAUCAGGUAAUUUUAAGCCAUGGAAUUGUGUUAAAGUUAUUGCCAUUCAUUUUGAAUUUUUAAACUUAUUGAGUACUGGGUCCCUCUUCAUUCUUACCCUAGCUUUUUAGUUUUGCCCUUAUGAAUCUUUUGAGUUAAUAGAAAACCUUUCAGUUAGAUUGUCUCUUGAUCUUUUGACCAGUCUUCAACUUCAUAGAAAGUAGGUAGCCUCUGCCCAUCUGCUUACUGACACAACGAAAAGCCUUUCUAUUACUAGAUGCUAUCUAGUGCUAGAAAAUAAUAGCUGAAAUAUUGGGAGCUUUAUGCAGUGCUACUUUAUUGCUAUGGGAACUUA